AUUGAACGCUGGCGGCAGGCCUAACACAUGCAAGUCGGACGAGUGUCGGACGGGUGAGUAAUGUCUGGGAAACUGCCUGAUGGCGGGGGAUAACUACUGGAAACGGUAGCUAAUACCGCAUACUAUCAUAUCUGCCCAGAUGGGAUUAGCUUGUUGGUGGGGUAACGGCGCACCAAGGCGACGAUCCCUAGCUGGGCUGAGAGGAUGACCCGCCACACGGGAACUGAGACACGGCCCAGACUCCUACGGGAGGCAGCAGUGGGGAAUUGUGCACAAGGGGCGCAAGCCUGAUGCAGCAAUGCCGCGUGUAUGAAGAGGGCCUUCGGGUUGUAAAGUACUUUCAGCAGGGAGGCGGUACCCGCAGAAGAAGCACCGGCUAACUCCGUGCCAGCAGCCGCGGUAAUUC
rnacentral:rRNA from 1 species